AUUAAUUGUAACUUAAGGAGAAAGAUUAACUUUUUUCGCUCCUAAUAAUUUUUAAUUUAAUUAACUUUACUUGUGAAUUUAAAAUUAAAUUUUGUGUUAUUAUUGUUAAUCUCAUCACAAGGAUCAAGUUGAUACCAAAAUUAUGAUAGUUCAACAGUUACUUUAGUUGUUCUUGUUACUCUUAAAACUGAUGCUUUUAUUUAUUUAAUAACUUCAACCAUUUUAGUUUUCUUGUUAAACUUUUUUGGACCUGAUCUUGGCCUUCGUCUCAACCUACUGAUGCCUAUUUCAUAUUCAAAUUUAAACAAUCUCACUGUUCAAAAACCAAGCUGAUGAAUCCAAGACAACAAGACACUUACGAUUGGAGGACUGGUAUUUAAUGAAUGAAGAAAAUAUUGUAAACAAACUAAAGAUUUUCAAUGAAAUUGUAAAAAUACUACAAGCAAAAAUUGUAAGAACUGAGCGUUUAGCUCAGUGCCCACAAGGGCCACCCUCUCGGGUGCUAAAUGCCUAAUGAAUUACCUCCGACCUUGGGAGGAUAGUAAAUUGUAAUCAAUCAACAAUUGAAUGAAAAAUAUUUACAAUUAUACAAUUGAUACUUAUUUAGUAGUCAAUUAUAAUAAUCGUAAGUGAAAAUAUUUCAAGUUCAAUUUUUUAAUUUUCUAAAAACGAUUAACCAAUAAAACAAUUGGACCGAUUUAA